AGAGUUUGAUCAUGGCUCAGGAUGAACGCUAGCGAUAGGCCUAACACAUGCAAGUCGAGGGGCAGCACAUGAGUAGCAAUACGAUGGUGGCGACCGGCGCACGGGUGAGUAACACGUAUGCAACCUACCUCUAACAGGGGGAUAACCCGUUGAAAGACGGACUAAUACCCCAUAAUACAGGGGCUCCGCAUGGAGAUAUUUGUUAAAGAUUUUAUCGGUUAGAGAUGGGCAUGCGUUCCAUUAGCUAGUUGGUGAGGUAACGGCUCACCAAGGCGACGAUGGAUAGGGGAACUGAGAGGUUUAUCCCCCACACUGGAACUGAGACACGGUCCAGACUCCUACGGGAGGCAGCAGUGAGGAAUAUUGGUCAAUGGAGGCAACUCUGAACCAGCCAAGUCGCGUGAAGGAUGAAGGUCUUAUGGAUUGUAAACUUCUUUUGCAGGGGAAUAAAUAGCGGUACGUGUACCGUUUUGCAUGUACCCUGCGAAUAAGGAUCGGCUAACUCCGUGCCAGCAGCCGCGGUAAUACGGAGGAUCCGAGCGUUAUCCGGAUUUAUUGGGUUUAAAGGGUGCGCAGGCGGGAGAUUAAGUCGGCGGUGAAAUUUUGCAGCUCAACUGUAAAAGUGCCUUCGAUACUGGUUUCCUUGAGUGUGGAUGAAGUAGGCGGAAUUUGUGGUGUAGCGGUGAAAUGCUUAGAUAUCACGAGGAACUCCGAUUGCGCAGGCAGCUUACUAAACCACUACUGACGCUCAGGCACGAAGGCGUGGGGAUCAAACAGGAUUAGAUACCCUGGUAGUCCACGCAGUAAACGAUGAUUACUGGCUGUUUGCGAUACAAUGUAAGCGGCUGAGCGAAAGCGUUAAGUAAUCCACCUGGGGAGUACGUUCGCAAGAAUGAAACUCAAAGGAAUUGACGG
rnacentral:rRNA from 1 species